rnacentral:rRNA from 1 species
AUUGAACGCUGGCGGCAUGCUUUACACAUGCAAGUCGAACGGUAACAGGCCUUCGGGUGCUGACGAGUGGCGAACGGGUGAGUAAUGCAUCGGAACGUACCCAGAGGUGGGGGAUAACGCAGCGAAAGCUGUGCUAAUACCGCAUGUGAUCUGAGGAUGAAAGCGGGGGACCGAGCAGCAAUGUUUGGCCUCGCGCCUUUGGAGCGGCCGAUGUCGGAUUAGCUAGUUGGUGGGGUAAAGGCCUACCAAGGCGACGAUCCGUAGCUGGUGUGAGAGGACGACCAGCGACACGAGGACUGAGACACGGCCCAGACGCCUACGGGAGGCAGCAGUGGGGAAUGUUGGACAAUGGGGGCGAGCCUGAUCCAGCAAUGCCGCGUGCGGGAAGAAGGCCUUCGGGUUGGGAACAGCUUUUGGCAGGAACGAAACGGUGUCCGCUAAUACCGGGCGCUAAUGACGGUACCUGCAGAAUAAGCACCGGCUAACUACGUG